CAAAUGUCAAGACCAACUUGUUUGAACAAGGCUAAUGAAAAAGAAGUGGACGACCGUUUGUGUGACGUCGCUGCGAGACCAGUUCCAGAAAUAAAGGAAUGCAAUCCACACAAAUGCCCACCAGUUUGGGUGACCGACAGCUGGAGCCCCUGCUCCGCUUCGUGUGGAGGCGGCCGACAAUCACGGCAGGUACAUUGUGCCCAGAUGGGUACAGAUGGUAUACGAAGCCCCGUUGCUGCCGAUCAAUGCCUUCGUCAGAAGCCUGUCACAGAGCGUCCCUGCAAUCUAGUGCCCUGCCCACAGUGGGUGAUUGGACCAUGGUCUGGAUGCUCUGUUACGUGUGGGAAAGGACAGAAAACUCGUUCUGUAGCUUGCAGAGAUGCCAAAGGGCAACACAGCGAAGAUUGUGAUGUUGAAGAGAUGCCAGCAACUAAGAUGGAUUGUGAUAGCCGCCUUGUAUGUACGCCGUCAGAAGACCCAGGAACGUAUUUGUUCUCAGAUAUUUUCAAGGGUUCCCAAGAAGAUGCUCCACCUCGUCGAAAAUCCAGUGAACCGAAUUACGAAGUUGGAGAAUGGGGUCCUUGCUCCGUUAGUUGUGGUCAAGGAAUCCGGACCCGAGAGGUGGCCUGUAAAAUACUUCUGGAGUUUUCAAAAACAUGGGCAUCACUUCAAGAUUAUGAAUGUCCCGGAAUGAAACCACCUACUGUUGAGAGCUGCUAUCCACGGCCAUGUUCUUUCGAUUUGAACAAGCCAGAAGAUAGGAAAAAACCGAAAGUGCAUGUUGGCAUUGAAGUUACUUAUUCCUGGAGAUCCAAUGGUUUCACACCGUGUAGUGCUUCUUGUCUUGGAGGUACUCGUGAAUCUGUCAUCCAGUGUGUUCGAGAUCAUGAUCAAGCAGUCGUGAAAGCGACACUAUGCGAUAUCAGCGAGAAACCGGACGCCAUUACUCAAACUUGUAAUGAUCAUCCAUGCCCACCGAGGUGGAAUAUUUCAGAGUUCAGUCCUUGUUCUAAGCCAUGUGGGGCUGGGUACAUGACACGUCGUGUUCAUUGCGUGCAUGAAGUUCUGAGAGGAGCAGCCAAUACUCUUAUCGUAAACAACAGCAACUGCCCACAGCCACCACCGAGAGAUAAAGUAUUUUGCAACGUUUUCAACUGCCCUUCACGCUGGAAAGCUGAUCCUUGGACAAAGUGUUCUAAAAGUUGCGGUGGUGGAGAGAAGACUCGAAAGAUUCGAUGCAUGAAGGAAAUGAACUUCGGGCAGUUAGUCGAACUGGCUCCUUCAGCCUGCUCAAAACGUCGACCCCGGACAUCGAAACCCUGCAACACGAAGCCUUGUCCCAGUGUAGACGAUAUCGUACCCUCUCAUCAGAGCUAUGUUCAGCAAAGCCCUCAGAGAAGGGUGUUCUUGAAGGUGGGAGGAACGGCCAAGAUUUUUGCGGAGACAAACGUGAAAAUUCGUUGUCCAAGUAAGAAUGCCAACAAGACGAGUAUAUUGUGGUAUAAAGAUGACGAAAAGAUCAAGCCUUCAAAGAGAUUAAAAGUUUCAAUGAAAGGAGCUCUACGCAUAAGGAGGAUAUCCUUAAAAGACAGCGGAAAAUAUACAUGUGUUUCCGGAUAUUCGAAAGCAGACAUCUUCAUUACAGUGAAGCCUCUCCCGCUCUUUCGCACAGGAACUGACGAAGAAAGGACAGUGGAGAAUCUCCAACCUCCUACUAUUGUCAAAGGCCCCAAAGACAACGAAAGGACGUCGGAAGAAAAGUUCAACCGUGACCGCUACCGGCCGAAUACUUCAACGGAGCCCAGGCACAAAGUCAACCAGCAACCGAGGGAAAAUAGAGUCAACAGCGGGGAAGAUACGGUUGAAGACACUCGUAGGGAAUAUCAUUACAAGACAAACACAAAUGACAAUCAAAAUAGCCACCAAGAUUUGAAUAAUAAACCAAAACUAUACUCAACAGAGGAUUCUACGCUUGAGCUCAGCACACUAGAUAGAGUACCUCUGUACAUACAAGCUCAGCAAACAAACAAACCACCAGUAGCCCCAGUGCCUACAUCUAAGACUGUAGAUUCAGAUGAACUUGUUCCAUCAAGGGGUCAAACAGAUCUUGAUAAGAACCGUCCUAAACUGAAGACUAAACCUUACGGCACAACAUCUGAAGAGAAAUCUCCCAAUCAAGUGAUCUACGGAGAAACUUGGAAGCAAACUUACGACGGGUCUUUGAGGGCUAAAAACAAGCAGAAAGAUGUGUGGAAAAAUACUGAUCUCUUCUCCGAUCAAGAAGAAUUAAACGUCGGCACUCCUCACGGUGGGAAAGGAUUCCCGGAUGAACCAGCUCAUUCCGGUGCCGCGAGUACUCAUGGUGUCUCCCACAUCGAGGUCUUUCUGCGGAAUUUGCCAUCAUUUGGGACAACUAAAGCCUCUUACUUCGAUCCCGAUAAGGAUUCAGAUGAAGAGGAAGUUGAAGAGGACUAUAAGCUUCCCGAUCCAACUGAAAUGGUAACCAACAGCUUCGUUCUAGGCAAAGGCAAACCAGAGCAUGUGAAGUUUGAUUGGUUUAUUACAGAGUGGUCACCAUGCACAAAGUCGUGUGGUGGUCAUGGAUAUCAGGUACGAACAUCUCAAUGUUUAGUGCGUUUGGACAACGUUUCGAAAGCUGUUGAUAGCAGUUUCUGUGAAGACGCGAAAUUAAUAACUCCAAAGAAUGUCCAGAGUUGUGGAGACGAGGAUUGCCCACACUGGGAAACAUCACCUUGGUCUCAGUGUCUGGAAUCGCAGUGCUUCCAGUGGCACACAGCUUACGAAAAGCGCUCCGUAUUUUGCCGUGCGGCCAACGGGACAGACCUUCCGCUUUCUCUUUGCGACGAGAAGACGCGACCGAGGCGGAAAAGAGAAUGCUAUAACAGUAACUGCAGAAGUGUAUGGAAAGUCGGUGAAUGGUCCGAGCCUGCUGUCUUAUGCCCAGUGCACCGCCAGCUGCAACCGACAUGGUUUCCAGAGCCGAAUUCUUCAGUGCGUCUGGUAUGGGAGCACACGGCCAGCUGGCAAUGCCUGCCGUGACCAACAAAGGCCUGUAGUCAUGCGGCCCUGCAAGAGCCCGCCAUGCCAAUCGAGUGGAAACAACUGCACUGACCGUUCCAGUUACUGCAGCUUAGCAAAAACCUUACACUUGUGCCGCCUCAGUCGCUACCACCUCCAUUGUUGUGACUCGUGCAAGAAACGAGAAAGCAAAGGUUAGAUCUCCAAUUUGCA
rnacentral:misc_RNA from 1 species